rnacentral:rRNA from 1 species
CAGCCGCCGCGGUAAUACGUAGGGUGCGAGCGUUAAUCGGAUUUACUGGGCGUAAAGCGUGCGCAGGCGGCCCGUUAAGACAGGUGUGAAAUCCCUGGGCUCAACCUAGGAAUUGCGCUUGUGACUGGCGGGCUCGAGUACGGUAGAGGGGGGUGGAAUUCCUGGUGUAGCAGUGAAAUGCGUAGAGAUCAGGAGGAACACCGAUGGCGAAGGCAGCCCCCUGGGCCUGUACUGACGCUCAUGCACGAAAGCGUGGGGAGCAAACAGGAUUAGAUGCCCUGGUAGUCCACGCCCUAAACGAUGGGUACUAGCCGUUUGGUGCGCGAGAGCGCUGAGUGGCGAAGCUAACGCGUGAAGUACCCCGCCUGGGGAGUACGGCCGCAAGGUUGAAACUUAAAGGAAUUGGCGGG